AAGUGUUUGGUCGAGAUCGUGAGUUUUUAUCAAAUGACCUCAAAUCAGGCAAGAAUACCCGCUGAACUUAAGCAUAUCAAUAAGCGGAGGAAAAGAAACUAACAAGGAUUCCCCUAGUAACGGCGAGUGAAGAGGGAAGAGCUCAAAUUUUAAAUCUGCCUUGUUCCAAGGUCGAGUUGUAAUUUGAAGAAGCGUUUUCUUGGGCUCGCGGCCGGUAGAAGUUCUUUGGAACAGGACAUCAUAGAGGGUGACAAUCCCGUCCGUGACCGGUCGUGCGUUCAUCUACGAUACGCUUUCAAAGAGUCGAGUUGUUUGGGAUUGCAGCUCCAAACGGGUGGUAAACAUCACCUAAGGCUAAAUAUUGGCGAGAGACCGAUAGCGAACAAGUACCGUGAGGGAAAGAUGAAAAGAACUUUGAAAAGAGAGUUAAACAGUACGUGAAAUUGUUGAAAGGGAAACGAUUGAAGUCAGUCGUGCUGGCGCGAAAUCAACCCUCUCGUCUUGAGAUCACAUGGCGCGACGAGCCUCAAAACCGUCACGAAGCGUGAACUCUUGACGAAAAGGUGCACUUUCGUGUCCGCUGGUUAACAUCAAUUUCGAACGUCAUAAAAAGGCUGGAGGGAUGUGGCUCCUUCGGGAGUGUUAUAACCUUUAGCGGAAUGUGGCGUUCGGGAUUGAGGAUUGCAACGAAUACCUUCAGGGCUGUUCCACCUGGCUUCUCAUUGGUAUCCUGGUGACGACAGCUUGCUGACGUCGUUAGGAUCAGCUUCUGAACAGGCUAGAGUGUGAGCAAAUUCGUUAAGGAUGUUAACGUAAUGGCUUUAAACGACC
rnacentral:rRNA from 1 species